UACGGGGGGGGCAAGCGUUGUUCGGAAUUACUGGGCGUAAAGGGCUCGUAGGUGGCCAACUAAGUCAGACGUGAAAUCCCUCGGCUUAACCGGGGAACUGCGUCUGAUACUGGAUGGCUUGAGUAUGGGAGAGGGAUGCGGAAUUCCAGGUGUAGCGGUGAAAUGCGUAGAUAUCUGGAGGAACACCGGUGGCGAAGGCGGCGACCUGGGUAGAUACUGACGCUGAGGAGCGAAAGCGUGGGGAGCGAACAGG
rnacentral:rRNA from 1 species